rnacentral:rRNA from 1 species
UACGUAGGUGGCAAGCGUUGUCCGGAUUUACUGGGCGUAAAGAGCGCGCAGGCGGUCGUUCAAGUCGCGUGUGAAAGCCCCCGGCUCAACUGGGGAGGGUCACGCGAUACUGAUCGACUCGAAGGCAGGAGAGGGUAGUGGAAUUCCCGGUGUAGUGGUGGAAUGCGUAGAGAUCCGGAGGAACACCAGCGGCGAAGGCGGCAUCCUGGACUGGUCCUGACACUCAUGAGCGAAAGCGUGGGAGCAACAGGG